AUUUCAUAACUUUUCUUAAGUACAUUGGAAACACAAUUAAGGUGGUCUUUUUGAUACUUUCGUUUUACAUGGUAACUUUGAAGGUUAUUCUCUUUGGUGAUAAUGUUCCCAAGGAUAGAGCUGAUAAGGCAAUGGAAGCUGCAAAAGGAUGUGACGCAUUUCUUGUGUUAGGAUCAUCUCUGAUGACCAUGUCUGCUUUCCGGCUUCUCAGAGCUGCUCAUGAGGCAGGUGUAGCUACUGCGAUUGUGAACGUGGGUGUAACCCGGGCUGAUGAUAUUGUGCCCUUGAAGAUCAAUGCCCGAUUAGGAUAGAUCUUGCCAAGAGUGCUUGACAAGCAAUCAACAAACAAAAAACCACAAUUUUCUUCAGUAAGAACACUACCCCAAGUGUUAAGGAGGAAAUUCGGAAUUUGUUCGGUGCACAAGUCAUGACAAAUUGUGAAAAAUACCUUGGCCACCUCCUUAUGGUUGGGGGAAAAUCUAAGGUGGAUACAUUUAAGGAUCUGCAGGAGCGGAUAACAAAAAGGGUGAUGGGGUGGAAGGAAAAAACAAUUUCUAAGGCAAGAAGGGAGGUGUUGAUAAAGACGGUGGCCCAAGCAAUACCCACUUAUUCUAUGAGUAUUUUUAAGCUCCCUAAGAAGGUGUGUGAUGAUAUUAAUUCGGUGUUGGCUUAAGUAUUGGUGGGGCCAAACUCGUAAUGAGAAAAAGAUACAUUGUAUAAACUGGAGUAAAUUGUGUAAUCCAAAGAAUAAGGGAGGUAUGGGUUUCCGAAAUAUCCACGCCUUCAAUCUAGCUAUGUUAGCCAAGCAGGCAUGGUGUUUGGUCACAGGUGCACAAUCUCUAUUUUAUGGAGUAUAUAAAGCUAGAUAUUUUCCCCGGUAUUUAUAAACUGGAGUAUAUAAAGCUAGAUGCAAGAUGGUUGAAACACACAGAAACAAAACAGGGACCAGAAGCUCAAUAAUGAGUUGCACCAGAUUAACAAGAUACUUACCAGAAAGAGAUGAAUUUUGGUGAGGGUGCCAACCACUAUGAAGAUGACCUGCAACCUGGAAGGAAAGAAGCUUCGAAUCUGAAAUUUGAUAGUUGUUCUAGUGUUUAAGAGAAGUUUUCGUUUGUAAUCUGAAAUUGGUGAUACUCUAAAUUUAAUUUAAUUUUUUAAUACAAAUACA